rnacentral:rRNA from 1 species
GACGAACGCUGGCGGCGUGCUUAACACAUGCAAGUCGAGCGGGAUCCAACCGGUGGCAACACCGGGGAAGAUCUAGCGGCGAACGGGUGAGUAACACGUGGGUGACCUGCCCUCAGCUCUGGGAUAAGCCUGGGAAACCGGGUCUAAUACCGGAUAUGACUCCAUGACGCAUGUUGUGGGGUGGAAAGCCUUGUGCGGCUGAGGAUGGGCCCGCGGCCCAUCAGCUGUUGGUGGGGUGAUGGCCUACCAAGGCGACGACGGGUAGCCGGCCUGAGAGGGCGACCGGCCACACUGGGACUGAGACACGGCCCAGACUCCUACGGGAGGCAGCAGUGGGGAAUCUUGCGCAAUGGGCGAAAGCCUGACGCAGCGACGCCGCGUGAGGGAUGACGGCCUCGG